rnacentral:rRNA from 1 species
GUGGGGAAUAUUGGACAAUGGGCGAAAGCCUGAUCCAGCCAUGCCGCGUGUGUGAAGAAGGUCUUCGGAUUGUAAAGCACUUUAAGUUGGGAGGAAGGGCAGUAAGUUAAUACCUUGCUGUUUUGACGUUACCAACAGAAUAAGCACCGGCUAACUUCGUGCCAGCAGCCGCGGUAAUACGAAGGGUGCAAGCGUUAAUCGGAAUUACUGGGCGUAAAGCGCGCGUAGGUGGUUCAGCAAGUUGGGGGUGAAAUCCCCGGGCUCAACCUUGUAACUGCCUCCAAAACUACUGAGCUAGAGUACGGUAGAGGGUAGUGGAAUUUCCUGUGUAGCGGUGAAAUGCGUAGAUAUAGGAAGGAACACCAGUGGCGAAGGCGACUACCUGGACUGAUACUGACACUGAGGUGCGAAAGCGUGGGGAGCAAACAGGAUUAGAAACCCCGGUAGUCC